rnacentral:tRNA from 2 species
GGGCUUGUAGCUCAGUGGUAGUAGCGCUCGCUUUGCAUUGUUUGCAUAUUUGCGAGAGGUCAGGGGUUCAAUCCCCCUCGAGUCCA